GAUGAACGCUAGCUACAGGCUUAACACAUGCAAGUCGAGGGGCAGCAUUAUCGAAGCUUGCUUUGAUAGAUGGCGACCGGCGCACGGGUGAGUAACGCGUAUCCAACCUUCCCCCUACCAGAGGAUAGCCCGGCGAAAGUCGGAUUAAUACUCUAUGUUUUCCUUGUUGGGCAUCUUAUGAGGAACAAAGACUCGUCGGUAUGGGAUGGGGAUGCGUCUGAUUAGCUUGUUGGCGGGGUAACGGCCCACCAAGGCGACGAUCAGUAGGGGUUCUGAGAGGAAGGUCCCCCACACUGGUACUGAGACACGGACCAGACUCC
rnacentral:rRNA from 1 species